UGCCUUUUAAAUGAAGGCCUGUAUGAAUGGCAUAACGAGGGCUUAACUGUCUCCUUCCCCUAGUCAAUGAAAUUGAUCUCUCCGUGCAGAAGCGGGGAUAAAAACAUAAGACGAGAAGACCCUGUGGAGCUUUAGACGAUAAACAGACCAUGUCAAGGACAAUAACAAGUUACUCAAACAAAUUGGCUACUGUUUUAUGUCUUUGGUUGGGGCGACCGCGGGAUAACAAAAAACUCCCAUGAGGAUAGAGAAAACCCUAUUCUUAUAACCAAGAGCUUCCUCUCUAAGUAACAGAAUAUCUGACCUUAAUGAUCCGGCCUGGCCGAUCAACGGACCGAGUUACCCCAGGGAUAACAGCGCAAUCCUCUUUUAGAGCCCAUAUCGACAAGAGGGUUUACGACCUCGAUGUUGGAUCAGGACAUCCUAAUGGUGCAGCCGCUAUUAAGGGUUUGUUUGUUCAACAAUUAAAGU
rnacentral:rRNA from 1 species